rnacentral:siRNA from 1 species
GUUCCGUACUAAACACACUUGAUC